rnacentral:rRNA from 1 species
AAACUUAAGGAAUUGACGGGUCCCGCACAAGCAGCGGAGCGUGUGGUUUAAUUCGAUGAUACGCGAAAACUUACCAGGGUUUGACAUGUGGGUGGUAGGGAUCCGAAAGGUGACCGACUCUUCGGAGAGCCCUCACAGGUGCUGCAUGGCUGUCGUCAGCUCGUGUCGUGAGACGUUCGGUUAAGUCCGCUAACGAGCGCAACCCUCGUCGUGUGUUACAAGUGUCACGCGAGACCGCCGGUGUCAAGCCGGAGGAAGGUGAGGAUGACGUCAAGUCAGCAUGGCCUUUAUAUCCUGGGCUACACACACGCUACAAUGGUUGGCACAAUUGGUUGCGAAGCCGCGAGGCGGAGCCAAUCCGUAAAGUCAGCCUCAGUUCAGAUUGUAGGCUGCAACUCGCCUGCAUGAAGAUGGAGUUGCUAGUAAACGCAGGUCAGCAUUACUGCGUUGAAUACGUUCCCGGGGAUU